GCGUCGAUGAAGAGCGCAGCCAGCUGCGUGAAUUAAUAUGAACUGCAGGACACACUGAACAUCGACACCUUGAACGCACAUUGCGGCUCUGGCUCACUGCCAGAGCCACGCCUGUCCGAGGGUCGGCGAACAAGUCAUCGCACCCGCUGCCGUGGCCUGGCCUCUUAACAUAGAGCCGGCUGCCAAGCGGGGAGCGCGUUGGCGAGUCGCGCGGGCAUUCAGUCCCGCUCGUCCGCCGUAGACCAGCCUCUCCCCUGGCUUGCCCCGCGAAGAGGCGCCGGGACAGGGCUCGAACGGGCCUUCUGUCUGGCGCACGUCCGCCCGCCGCUCCGCGGGCGUCGACGACCUUCCGGAGCUUAUGGCCUUUGCCACCGUAGCUAGCGGUGGGGGAGGGCGCUCUCUCCAAGAGAGCGAACGCGGCUAACACUAGCCGCAUUGCAUCCGACCUCGGAUCAGACGAGGAUACCCGCUGAAUUUAAGCAUAUCAGUAAGCGGAGGAAAAGAAACU
rnacentral:misc_RNA from 1 species